AUUGAACGCUGGCGGAAUGCUUUACACAUGCAAGUCGAACGGUAGAGGGGGCAACCCCUCGAGAGUGGCGAACGGGUGAGUAAUAUAUCGGAACGUGCCCAGUCGUGGGGGAUAACGUAGCGAAAGUUACGCUAAUACCGCAUACGAUCUAAGGAUGAAAGGGGGGGAUCGCAAGACCUCGCGCGAUUGGAGCGGCCGAUAUCAGAUUAGGUAGUUGGUGGGGUAAAGGCUCACCAAGCCAACGAUCUGUAGCUGGUCUGAGAGGACGACCAGCAACACUGGAACUGAGACACGGUCCAGACUCCUACGGGAGGCAGCAGUGGGGAAUUUUGGACAAUGGACGCAAGUCUGAUCCAGCCAUUCCGCGUGCAGGAUGAAGGCCCUCGGGUUGUAAACUGCUUUUGUACGGAACGAAAAGGUCUCUCUUAAUACGGGGGGCUCAUGACGGUACCGUAAGAAUAAGCACCGGCUAACUACGUGCCAGCCGCCGCGGUAA
rnacentral:rRNA from 1 species